AAGCGGUGGAGCAUGUGGUUAAUCGAAGCAACGCGAAGAACUUACCAGGUCUUGACAUCCCCUGACAACCCGAGAGAUCGGGCGUCCCCUUCGGGGGACAGGGUGACAGGUGGUGCAUGGUUGUCGUCAGCUCGUGUCGUGAGAUGUUGGGUUAAGUCCCGCAACGAGCGCAACCCCUAUUGUUAGUUGCCAUCAUUCAGUUGGGCACUCUAGCGAGACUGCCGGUAAUAAACCGGAGGAAGGUGGGAUGACGUCAAAUCAUCAUGCCCCUUAUGACCUGGGCUACACACGUGCUACAAUGGCCGGUACAGACGGACGCAAAGCCGCGAGGUGGAGCAAAUCCUAAAAAGCCGGUCUCAGUUCGGAUUGCAGGCUGCAAUUCGCCUGCAUGAAGUCGGAAUCGCUAGUAAUCGCAGGUCAGCAUACUGCGGUGAAUACGUUCCCGGGCCUU
rnacentral:rRNA from 1 species